rnacentral:rRNA from 1 species
AUGAACGCUGGCGGCGUGCCUAAUACAUGCAAGUCGAGCGAACAGAUGAGGAGCUUGCUCCUCUGACGUUAGCGGCGGACGGGUGAGUAACACGUGGAUAACCUACCUAUAAGACUGGGAUAACUUCGGGAAACCGGAGCUAAUACCGGAUAAUAUAUUGAACCGCAUGGUUCAAUAGUGAAAGACGGUUUUGCUGUCACUUAUAGAUGGAUCCGCGCCGCAUUAGCUAGUUGGUAAGGUAACGGCUUACCAAGGCAACGAUGCGUAGCCGACCUGAGAGGGUGAUCGGCCACACUGGAACUGAGACACGGUCCAGACUCCUACGGGAGGCAGCAGUAGGGAAUCUUCCGCAAUGGGCGGAAGCCUGACGGAGCAACGCCGCGUGAGUGAUGAAGGUCUUCGGAUCGUAAAACUCUGUUAUUAGGGAAGAACAAAUGUGUAAGUAACUAUGCACGUCUUGACGGUACCUAAUCAGAAAGCCACGGCUAACUACGUG